CCAACGCCGACGAAGUCACUCACCAUGGUUGGUAUCCCUAGAAAAAUCAAUUUCAUGGCCACAAGAGGCCAUAUAUAGCCUCUUGGAAGGCCUCAGCAAUAUUGGGCUUACGGCAGGCUUCCAGACCAGGCAAAAUCGUCCAGCCCAGGGGAGUAACGAACGUAUGGGUGAAGGGCGAAGGGGUGAACGUGCUGGCCAAGGGAAAGGAACGUCACCUGCCCAAUCAACGAAGGGAAAGGUCCCGACGAAGGUGUUCAGCGGGCGGGCGGCGGUGGGUCGGGGGCCACAUGGGGACUGCCGCAAGUACGCCGUCGAACCCAAGCCUUCAGGGCAGGGAGCGAUGGGCUGAACCCCCACUGAGCCCUUAAUGUGACCCCCCACCCACCACCUCCACGCACCACCACCACCACCACCUCAACGGAGCGAAGGAGAAGGGGAGCGGCAUCACCUUUACCUGAUCACCUGAGGCCCGUUAAUUAACCACCGCGGCGUCGCUCACCUGGGCGCGGCUGAUGGCUCCGUCGCACCUGUCUGUAUGGUGGAUAAGGAAAGGAUACAAUAAGCAGAGGAGGAAAAGGAGUAAAGAAUGGGAAGUUAAGGACAAGUUAAGGACAUCCUGAAGACCACAUAAGCUACAAAAUCAA